rnacentral:rRNA from 1 species
UAAAGAAUUUCGGUCAUCGAUGGGGAUGCGUUCCAUUAGCUUGUUGGCGGGGUAACGGCCCACCAAGGCAUCGAUGGAUAGGGGUUCUGAGAGGAAGGUCCCCCACAUUGGAACUGAGACACGGUCCAAACUCCUACGGGAGGCAGCAGUGAGGAAUAUUGGUCAAUGGGCGCUAGCCUGAACCAGCCAAGUAGCGUGAAGGAUGACUGCCCUAUGGGUUGUAAACUUCUUUUAUAUGGGAAUAAAGUGCAGUAUGUAUACUGCUUUGCAUGUACCUUAUGAAUAAGGAUCGGCUAACUCCGUGCCAGCAGCCGCGGUAAUACGGAGGAUCCGAGCGUUAUCCGGAUUUAUUGGGUUUAAAGGGAGCGUAGGCGGGUUGUUAAGUCAGUUGUGAAAGUUUGCGGCUCAACCGUAAAAUUGCAGUUGAUACUGGCAUCCUUGAGUACAGUAGAGGUAGGCGGAAUUCGUGGUGUAGCGGUGAAAUGCUUAGAUAUCACGAAGAACUCCGAUUGCGAAGGCAGCCUGCUGGACUGUAACUGACGCUGAUGCUCGAAAGUGUGGGUAUCAAACAGGAUUAGAUACCCUGGUAGUCCACACA